rnacentral:rRNA from 1 species
UACGUAGGGUGCGAGCGUUGUCCGGAAUUAUUGGGCGUAAAGGGCUCGUAGGCGGUUUGUCGCGUCGGGAGUGAAAAUCCAGGGCUUAACUCUGGACUGGCUUCCGAUACGGGCAGACUAGAGGUAUGCAGGGGAGAACGGAAUUCCUGGUGUAGCGGUGAAAUGCGCAGAUAUCAGGAGGAACACCGGUGGCGAAGGCGGGUCUCUGGACAGUUCCUGACACUGAGACACGAAGGCCAGGGGAGCAAACGGG